CUUGCAUGUUUACAUUUCUCUCAGCAUUAACAUUUCAGGGCUAUUUAACAAGUUAUGUGAAAUAUGUAACAUGACCUUUAACACAUAUUAAAUGAACAGUAUAAUACAAUAUAAUAAUGUCACAACAAAUGACACAAGAAUAUAAAAAUAAUCUACUUCUCACAUAUCAACCCCCCCUGUUGCCUCAAAAGUCAGGGGUGAAGCAGUGCAUAGGAGCUUUUCUUGUCAUCCUAUUUAUUCGUUUUUGGGAACUGUUCCUCAUGCUUGGCAAAAGUAUACACAAG